rnacentral:lncRNA from 1 species
UCAUAUUGCUCGGUUUCAUGUGAACUGCUUUCCUAGACAUAUCCCGUAAAGUCGAAUAAUAUAUGACCUUAGAUAACAUGAUAAAAUAGUAAAUAUUUACACCUCACUUUACAAUAUAAUCGAAAGUCUCAUAAGGCAUAAUGUGAGGCCAGUUUAUGUACACAUAGCCUCAAAAACCUCAUAUAGUGAGGAAGUAGGGAUUCAAUAUCUAUCAAUAUUCUCACUCACCUUCCUUAUCAGUCG